rnacentral:rRNA from 1 species
CCUACGGGAGGCAGCAGUGGGGAAUAUUGCGCAAUGGCCGAAAGGCUGACGCAGCGACGCCGCGUGGGGGAUGAAGCAUUUCGGUGUGUAAACCCCUGUUGCUCGGGACGAACAAGCCUUUUCGAGGGCUCUGACGGUACCGAGUGAGGAAGCACCGGCUAACUCCGUGCCAGCAGCCGCGGUAAUACGGAGGGUGCGAGCGUUGUCCGGAAUCACUGGGCGUAAAGGGCGCGUAGGCGGUCUGCUAAGCGUGUGGUGAAAGCUCGGGGCUCAACCCCGAGUCGGCCAUGCGAACUGGUGGACUAGAGCACUGUAGAGGCAGGUGGAAUUCCGGGUGUAGCGGUGGAAUGCGUAGAGAUCCGGAAGAACACCGGUGGCGAAGGCGGCCUGCUGGGCAGUAGCUGACGCUGAGGCGCGAUAGCGUGGGGAGCAAACAGGAUUAGAUACCCUGGUAGUCCACGCCGUAAACGAUGGGUACUAGGUGCUUGGGGGAGCGACCCCCCGAGUGCCGGCGCUAACGCAUUAAGUACCCCGCCUGGGGAGUACGACCGCAAGGUUGAAACUCAAAGGAAUUGACGG